CUCCAGUUGGAUGCAUGUCCUUCUGGGAAAGAUUCAUCGGUAUGGGAUGGGGUCGCGUCCUAUCAGCUUGAUGGCGGGGUAACGGCCCACCAUGGCUUCGACGGGUAGCCGGCCUGAGAGGGCGACCGGCCACAUUGGGACUGAGAUACGGCCCAGACUCCUACGGGAGGCAGCAGUGGGGAAUAUUGCACAAUGGGCGCAAGCCUGAUGCAGCGACGCCGCGUGCGGGAUGACGGCCUUCGGGUUGUAAACCGCUUUUGACUGGGAGCAAGCCCUUCGGGGUGAGUGUACCUUUCGAAUAAGCACCGGCUAACUACGUGCCAGCAGCCGCGGUAAUACGUAGGGUGCAAGCGUUAUCCGGAAUUAUUGGGCGUAAAGGGCUCGUAGGCGGUUCGUCGCGUCCGGUGUGAAAGUCCAUCGCUUAACGGUGGAUCCGCGCCGGGUACGGGCGGGCUUGAGUGCGGUAGGGGAGACUGGAA
rnacentral:rRNA from 1 species